rnacentral:rRNA from 1 species
AUUGAACGCUGGCGGCAGGCCUAACACAUGCAAGUCGAACGAGUGGCGGACGGGUGAGUAAUGUCUGGGAAACUGCCCGAUGGAGGGGGAUAACUACUGAAAAGGGUAGCUAAUACCGCAUACCAUCGGAUGUGCCCAGAUGGGAUUAGCUAGUAGGUGGGGUAACGGCUCACCUAGGCGACGAUCCCUAGCUGGUCUGAGCGGAUGACCAGCCCUACGUGAACUGAUACCCGGUCCACAUUCCUACGUGAGGCAGCCGUGGGGAAUAUGGCACAGUGGGCGCAAGCCUGAUGCAGCCAUGCCGCUUGUAUGAAGAAGGCCUUCGGGUUGUAAAGUACUUUCAGCGGGGAGGCGUUACUCGCAGAAGAAGCACCGGCUAACUCCGUGCCAGCCGCCGCGGUAAUUC